UCCUGACCUCGUGAUCCACCCCCCUCGGCCUCCUGAAGUGCUGGGAUUACUGGAGUGAGCCGCCGCGCCAGGCCUGUUUCUUUAAAUCUUAUUCUACUUGCAUUGUUUCAAUAUAUUCUUCGGUGAAACUAUUAAACCCACUUUUUUUAAGAUCUCAUGUUUAAAUAUCUCAAUUUUGUUUGUAAAAGGAUAAUAGGAUAGAAAAGCAUGUGAUUAUUUUCUACUCUUAACUAUACCAAAACGAUUAGGAAAGCCACACAGACAUCAGCAGCAAGGCACUGUUGGCUUGCAUAAUGCUGGCAUGUCCCAAAUGCAGGCAAAGUUCCGGAGAGGACAUUACCAGUUGCUAACAGAUUCUGGCUAUAUGACUCAUCUCCAGGGAACAGGAUCAGUGUUAUUUGAUUUUGCACUAUCAGAGUGGUGGGUAAAUGAACAUGAUUUUCCUCUCCUGCUUGUCCAUAUGUCCAAAUAAUUAAUAUCUUGUGAGAACAAAAUGAAUCCAAUGAUAGCUAGCAUUUAUCAAAUACUCAUUAUGUACGUGGAACUGUUAGUCAUUUUCAUAAAGUAGAUCAUUUAAUUCUUCACAAACCCUGUGAAGUAGGCAUUACGGUCUCCAUUUUGCUGAACAGGAAAAUGAGGUGAAGAAAAUGCUGAAUCACUGCUUGAGAUCACAGAGCAGAUGUACCUGCUUUCCCUUCACCUUCCACCAUGACUGUACAUUUCCUGAGUCCUCUCUAGUCAUGCUUUCCAUACAGCCUGCUGAACUCUCUGCCCGAAUUUCAGCUGUCACAGAAUGAGUGAGGUAGUAAAAUGGAAAUGCAUCAUCUCAGUUUCCCCGUGGCCUGAAUGUCUAUACAAAAUGAGAGCCAGUAGAGAAGAAGAGAGGACGUGAGGAGUUUUUAAUAACUGAGGAAAAGUGGAAGGAAAAGUAAGGAUGAAGGUGAAGAUGAAGGAAUACGUCGGAGAUGCUAGCACUGGCAUCCCCAACCACACAGUACCAUGUCCUGCUAAAGAACUCUAUAGAAUAUACAUGGUGUAGAUGGCAGUCUUCUUGGGGAAUCCAUCUGAGAAAAAGAAGCUUCAGCAUUGCAAGAUUUCAGCUACUUGGACAGGAUUCCACCUUUCCCAUGGCUGGAGCCCUUGACACACGUCACUGUACACUGCUGUUCUCACUGGGAAAAGGAAACUGAGACCUAGAGAUGACAAGUGAAUUUCCCAUGACUGUCCAGCUGAUACGGAGCUGAGCUGGAAAGUGAGCCUGGAUCUCUCUGGUUCUAAAAGCUUUGCUCGAAAGCACAGGAUGACACCACCAUUCAAUCAAUAAGCAGAGACCCUUCUGUGGACUCAGCAGGUCCUGUUGUCCCUGAAGCUUGACACUGUCAUUUCAAACCACAGCAAGAACUCAAAAAGGAAACAGUGCAAGGAAAAUAAUGUGAUAUUGGAGAGGCAGCGUGGGUUAUUGGGGGACAUGGGUUCAUGCCCCUUCUCUCCCACACGCGUGGCAUGAUGCUAAGCAGGUUACCUGACCUCUCCAGGGUUGUUUCCUCAAUAGAGAAAAUGAGGGGGUUGAGAUGAACGCCAGCCCUGGGUGCUCAAUGCUGCAGUCUGGGGUGGCGUGGACUGAAAUCAGAAUUCUUUCUCCUCCGUUCUGGGUGCUGACACAUGAUCUCUAGCUCUCACUCCUCACCCCUAAUCUUGCCCAUCUGAGUUUCAGGUUAUUUUUUCCUUCCCCCUGCUCUUCAAUUUCCUUAUUGAGGAAGCUCUUUCCUGCUGCCUCUGUCCUUGCUGGAGUUGUUUGAUCCGAUAGAGCCAGUUGAAGCCAAGGGGACCCUGACUUGAAUCUUGCUUUCUGACAUGCUUGCUGUGGCUUGCUUGGAACCUGAAUAAGAGCUUGCUUACUCCCGGUGUUCACCACGGCAGAACCAUGGGUGCAGAAAUGUAAUUCUCAACCAGCCCAGUUUAAUCAGCGAAAGACAAUAGGGCUUGCAGGCGGUAUCACGUUGAGUCUCUGAACACAGCACGGCUGCUGUCGCCCUUUUCAUUAAAAUGAUUGAAAUGUAUUUCUAAA